UAAGGAAUAUUGGACAAUGGAGGCAACUCUGAUCCAGCCAUGCCGCGUGAAGGAAUAAGGCCCUAUGGGUUGUAAACUUCUUUUAGACGGGACAAAACCCCUUUACGUGUAAAGGGUUGAUGGUGCUGUCAGAAUAAGCAUCGGCUAACUUCGUGCCAGCAGCCGCGGUAAUACGAAGGAUGCAAGCGUUAUCCGGAAUUAUUGGGUUUAAAGGGUGCGUAGGCGGACUAAUAAGUCAGUGGUGAAAGCCUGCAGCUUAACUGCAGAAUUGCCAUUGAUACUGUUAGUCUUGAGUACAGUUGAGGUAGGCGGGAUGUGUCAUGUAGCGGUGAAAUGCUUAGAUAUGACACAGAACACCGAUUGCGAAGGCAGCUUGCUAAGCUGUAACUGACGCUGAGGCACGAAAGCGUGGGGAGCAAACA
rnacentral:rRNA from 1 species